AAUCACAGAAUUAGACCUCAGAUUACACAGGAGGGCUAAAAGGAUGACAUUUUAUAUAUGAUAGGCCUAUUGCUACAUACGUCCAUAAUAUGAGGAAAUUGUGUUAGAUAAUCACAAAGGUUUCAUCCAACUUCAAAAGCAUCCAGCAUUACUUGGUCUUCAGCAUCACCCCUGACUCCUAGGAACUUAAGAAGACAUACAUUUACAUUUUAACUUGGAAGAAAGAAAUGCUGAAAGAACAAUCUGGUCUUCCAUGCUUCCUGCUACAGAAAUACAAAUGCUUCUUAAAGUUUUUUGUUCAACCAGUGCUCAGUUAUGGUUGGUCCCCUGGCUGAGGGUAGCAACUCUCCCACCUGUCACUGGAUGAAGACAGAUACCCAAGACCUGGUUUUUCUCCUAAAAUCUGCAUCCAUCAAGAUUCAUGUAUUUGUUGUCUAUGUCUUAUUUCAAGAUAACCACCUUUCAACUUUUGCUGCACCUCCGACACCUACUUGAUGAGCAUCUUGGCGAUUUAAUAAGCAGUUACACAAGUCAAGAGAGCCUUGCCCCAACAUGAGUCUUAAUUGAAUAUGUACUACAUAAUAGAAUUAAUUCAGAGCAAACCACCA